UUUUUUUCUUAAGGAGAGAAAUAGAUUUACUUCUUACUGGUGAUAUGGUAUAAUUAUGAUAUUAUAGACUUCCUGUCCAUAGUUAGUUAAUUCGGAUUCGGCAAAAAUUCGGUACGGAUAUAAUUCGGAUAUAAUUCGUUUUUUAAUUUUUAAAUUCGUUGAAAAAUACGGUUAAAAAACGGGUUCGGUAAUGAUUCGGAUACGUGAUUUAUACGGAUAUUAUACGUUCACCAAUUAAAAAUUCGGAAUCAAAAAUUCGGCUAUAUAAUAAAUAUAUAAUAAUUAAUAUAUUAUAUAAUUACAAAUUUAUAAAUAAAAUAUUAUAUAAAUAUUUCUAUAUAAAAAUAAAAUAAUAUAUAUAAUAAAU
rnacentral:lncRNA from 1 species